AUUGAACGCUGGCGGCAUGCUUUACACAUGCAAGUCGAACGGUAACAGGUUAAGCUGACGAGUGGCGAACGGGUGAGUAAUGCAUCGGAACGUGCCCGGUCGUGGGGGAUAACGCAGCGAAAGCUGCGCUAAUACCGCAUACGAUCUGAGGAUGAAAGCGGGGGACCGUAAGGCCUCGCGCGAUCGGCGCGGCCGAUGUCAGAUUAGGUAGUUGGUGGGGGAAAGGCUCACCAAGCCAACGAUCUGUAGCUGGUCUGAGAGGACGACCAGCCACACUGGGACUGAGACACGGCCCAGACUCCUACGGGAGGCAGCAGUGGGGAAUUUUGGACAAUGGGCGAAAGCCUGAUCCAGCAAUGCCGCGUGCAGGAAGAAGGCCUUCGGGUUGUAAACUGCUUUUGUACGGAGCGAAAAGGUCUCCUCUAAUACAGGGGGCUCAUGACGGUACCGUAAGGAUAAGCACCGGCUAACUACGUGCCAGCCGCCGCUGUAA
rnacentral:rRNA from 1 species